rnacentral:tRNA from 1 species
GCCGGUGUAGCUCAAAUGCAGAGCGGCCGAGACUGUAACUCGGCAGAUGGGGCGUUCAAAUCCCCCCGCCGGCUCCA